rnacentral:rRNA from 1 species
UACGGAGGGUGCGAGCGUUGUCCGGAAUCACUGGGCGUAAAGGGCGCGUAGGUGGCCCGCGGAGUCAACGGUGAAAGUUUGGGGCUCAACCCCGGAUCGGCCGUCGAUACUCGUGGGCUGGAGCACUGUAGAGGCUCAUGGAAUUCCGGGUGUAGCGGUGGAAUGCGUAGAGAUCCGGAAGAACACCGGUGGCGAAGGCGGUGAGCUGGGCAGUGGCUGACACUGAGGCGCGACAGCGUGGGGAGCAAACAGG